UACGUAGGGGGCUAGCGUUGUCCGGAAUCAUUGGGCGUAAAGCGCGCGUAGGCGGCCCGGUAAGUCCGUUGUGAAAGUCAAAGGCUCAACCUUUGAAUGCCGAUGGAUACUGCCGGGCUCGAGUCCGGAAGAGGCGAGUGGAAUUCCUGGUGUAGCGGUGGAAUGCGCAGAUAUCAGGAGGAACACCGAUAGCGAAGGCAGCUCGCUGGGACGGUACUGACGCUAAGGCGCGAAAGCGUGGGGAGCAAACAGG
rnacentral:rRNA from 1 species